GGUGGAGCAUGUGGUUUAAUUCGACGAUACGCGAAGAACCUUACCUGGCCUUGACAUUGAAAGAACACUUUAGAGAUAGAGUGGUGCUAGUUUACUAGAGCUUGAAAACAGGUGCUGCACGGCUGUCGUCAGCUCGUGUCGUGAGAUGUUGGGUUAAGUCCCGCAACGAGCGCAACCCUCGUGUCUAGUUGCUAACAGUUCGGCUGAGGACUCUAGACAGACUGCCUGGGCAACCAGGAGGAAGGUGAGGACGACGUCAAGUCAUCAUGGCCCUUACGGCCAGGGCUACACACGUGCUACAAUGGGGUAUACAAAGAGCAGCGAUACCGCGAGGUGGAGCAAAUCUCAUAAAAUAUCUCCCAGUUCGGAUUGUACUCUGCAACUCGAGUGCAUGAAGUUGGAAUCGCUAGUAAUCGUAGAUCAGCAAUGCUACGGUGAAUACGUUCCCG
rnacentral:rRNA from 1 species